rnacentral:rRNA from 1 species
UACGUAGGGUGCAAGCGUUGUCCGGAAUUAUUGGGCGUAAAGAGCUCGUAGGCGGUUUGUUGCGUCGGCUGUGAAAUCCCGAGGCUCAACCUCGGGUCUGCAGUCGAUACGAGCAAACUAGAGUGUUGCAGGGGAGACUGGAAUUCCUGGUGUAGCGGUGAAAUGCGCAGAUAUCAGGAGGAACACCGGUGGCGAAGGCGGGUCUCUGGGCAACAACUGACGCUGGAGGAGCGAAAGCGUGGGGAGCGAACAGGAUUAGA